rnacentral:rRNA from 1 species
UCGGGAAUUUUGGGCAAUGGGCGAAAGCCUGACCCAGCAACGCCGCGUGAAGGAUGAAGUAUUUCGGUAUGUAAACUUCGUAAGAAUGGGAAGAAUAAAUGACGGUACCAUUUGUAAGGUCCGGCUAACUACGUGCCAGCAGCCGCGGUAAUACGUAGGGACCAAGCGUUGUUCGGAUUUACUGGGCGUAAAGGGUGCGUAGGCGGCGCGUCAAGUCAGUUGUGAAAUCUUAAGGCUUAACCUUAAGCGGUCAACUGAUACUGUCGUGCUAGAGUGCAGAAGGGGCAAUCGGAAUUCUUGGUGUAGCGGUGAAAUGCGUAGAUAUCAAGAGGAACACCUGAGGUGAAGACGGGUUGCUGGGCUGACACUGACGCUGAGGUGCGAAAGCGUGGGGAGCAA